rnacentral:rRNA from 1 species
GACAGAGGUCCCGAGCGUUAGGCGGAAUCACUGGGCUUAAAGCGUGUGUAGGCGGAUCGUUAAGUGCCUUGUGAAAUCCCACGGCUUAACCGUGGAACUGCUUGGCAUACUGGCGGUCUUGAGCAACCUAGGGGCAAGCGGAACAAAUGGUGGAGCGGUGAAAUGCGUAGAUAUCAUUUGGAACGCCAAUGGUGAAAACAGCUUGCUGGGGGCUUGCUGACGCUGAGACACGAAAGCCAGGGGAGCAAACGGG